UACGAAGGGGGCUAGCGUUGCUCGGAAUCACUGGGCGUAAAGCGCACGUAGGCGGAUUGUUAAGUCGGGGGUGAAAUCCUGGAGCUCAACUCCAGAACUGCCUUCGAUACUGACGAUCUCGAGUCCGGGAGAGGUGAGUGGAACUCCGAGUGUAGAGGUGAAAUUCGUAGAUAUUCGGAAGAACACCAGUGGCGAAGGCGGCUCACUGGCCCGGUACUGACGCUGAGGUGCGAAAGCGUGGGGAGCAAACAGG
rnacentral:rRNA from 1 species